GUAGGUGAACCUGCGGAAGGAUCAUUAACAAAUCAGCUUGGUGCUGUGUGUGUGUAUGUGUGUGGGGGGCCCUCCUUCUGGAGGGCUUCCUUCUCACGGCCCACGGCCCAUAUUAACCCGAGCCCGUGCAGCAAUGCCGGGCAAGGUAAGGUGUGUGAGCCCGCCCUCUUGGGAGGGGCUCACGCGGUGAAGGUCACACUGUCUGGAAGGACAGUCUUGUCUUGACAGACAAUCGACCCGAUCCACAUAG
rnacentral:misc_RNA from 1 species